rnacentral:rRNA from 1 species
AGUGAACGCUGGCGGUAGGCCUAACACAUGCAAGUCGAACGGCAGCACAGAGGAGCUUGCUCCUUGGGUGGCGAGUGGCGGACGGGUGAGGAAUACAUCGGAAUCUACUCUGUCGUGGGGGAUAACGUAGGGAAACUUACGCUAAUACCGCAUACGACCUACGGGUGAAAGCAGGGGACCUUCGGGCCUUGCGCGAUUGAAUGAGCCGAUGUCGGAUUAGCUAGUUGGCGGGGUAAAGGCCCACCAAGGCGACGAUCCGUAGCUGGUCUGAGAGGAUGAUCAGCCACACUGGAACUGAGACACGGUCCAGACACCUACGGGAGGCAGCAGUGGGGAAUAGUGGAAAAUGGGCGCAAGCCUGAUCCAGCCAUACCGCGUGGGUGAAGAAGGCCUUCGGGUUGUAAAGCCCUUUUGUUGGGAAAGAAAUCCAGCUGGCUAAUACCCGGUUGGGAUGACGGUACCCAAAGAAUAAGCACCGGCUAACUUCGUGCCAGCCGCCGCGGUAA